rnacentral:sRNA from 1 species
UGUUUAUUCGUGUCAGCAACCGCGGUGGA